AGACGCAAGUCCAAUGAGAGCGGGUAGGACGGGGUGGGGCGGGAUGUAGGGAAUUUGGUCACUACGGCGACUCGGGUGGGCCGAACCAUCCAAGCCAGAGAUGUGUCUCCUUUUGGGUGCCACUGGAGUCGGAAAGACUCUGCUGGUGAAGCGGCUACAGAAGCUGAGCUCCCGUGAGGGAAAAAGUGACCUUGGUGACCCACCCCCCACCCAGCCCACGGUGGGUACUGAUCUCACUGACAUCAUGACGCAGAAAAAAAUGACUAUCAGGGAGCUAGGGGGAUGCAUGGGUCCCAUCUGGUCCAGUUAUUAUGGAGAUUGCCGCUGUGUCCUGUUCAUGAUUGAUGCUUCUGACCCCACCCAACUGUCCUUAUCCUGUGUCCAGCUCCUGGGUCUCCUUUCUGCAGAACAGCUAGUUGAUGCAUCUGUCCUGAUCCUCUUCAAUAAGAUUGAUAUGCCCUGUUACAUGACCUUGGAGGAGAUGAAAUCCUUAAUCAGACUCCCAGAUAUCAUUGCUUGUGCCAAGCAGUGCAUCACUACAGCAGAAAUCAGUGCCCGGGAUGGCACUGGUUUGGCAGGUGUCCUGCGCUGGCUCCAAGACACCCACAAAGCCAAUAGCUGAUUGAAGGAUGAAUAUAAGUGACAUUUCUUUGUGAGACAGAAAGACCAGAGACUGCGUGGAUUGUAGGACUUUGUCCUCAGGGCAGAAAGACCCAGGCUGAGCUACCAGAAGAUGAUUAGGGUGGCCUAAGCUCAGCUAAAUGUGUUAGCAGGCAAAUGGAGGCUGUUUACAAGGCUUGAAAAUCUCUAAUAGCUGAACUGCAAACUGAAGAGGCUAACCACGCUCUGAGAAGAUGUUUUGGGCAGAUGGGUUGCCCCUUGGAAAAGUCUUUUAGUAUUCCUAAUGCUGCUUUUGGAAGAUUACACAACAUCUCAGCCUUUUUCUCCAGUGCAGUUUGCUGGCUCCUUUCUAGGCCUGAUAAAUCCUCCCAUCCCUACCCCAUACGCAUAGGCAGCAUACAGUCACCUGGAUUUUGGCUUAUUGAUAAUUAUCUGGCUUUACUUUUCUAUCCAAGUGCCGGAGACAUAUGGUGUGGAUCUUUCAUCAAGCAGAAGCUUGCCACCUGAACAAAAUUCCUUCUUUGUGGAACACUUAAAAUUUAAGAUUCUUAAAAUUGGAAAAGCUCAUGGUAAGAAGGAAAAAGAAGAGGCAGUGAUUAACCAGUCCUGAAAACCAAAAUCAUGGAAAUUUGACCAUCCUACUUUGUGGAGUAAUUUUGAAAGUAUUCCUAAAGUUCAGCAUGAUUUAAUAAUUCCUGGGCACCCUGUUCCAAUGAUCUUCUGAUAAUGACAACCAUCUAUACCCAGAGAGAGGACUGGGAACUGAGGUGGAUUACAACAUAGCAUUUCACUUGUUUUGUUGUGGUUUGCUUGAAUUUUAUUGUCUUUUUUUUUUUUUUUUUUUUUACUUUUUGAUCUGAUUUUUCUUGUGCAAAAAUAUUGUAUAAAUAUUUAUGCCUAUUUUGGAUUUAACAUAUUUUCCCCAUAUUUAACAUGGGGAGGGGUUGGGGAAGGGGGUGGGGAAUUGGAAUACAAGGUUUUUCAAGGGUCAAUGUUGAAAAAUAUUAUCCUUGCAUAUAUUUUGAAAAUAAAAAACUUCAAUUAAAAAAUAA